rnacentral:lncRNA from 1 species
AUCUCUGAGAAAUAAUCUGUGUGGAAAUGAGGGCAGGACCUCGAGCUCGGCCUGGACGUGAGAGGCCAUGUCCUCAAGUCACUCUGCACACCAUGUCCCUCCCGGUCUGAGUGGGUGAGAGGAAGACGCACCUUCUCCUGACCUCGUCUCCACCCAUCCUGGGGAGGACAGCGAGCCCAGGGGGCUCUUGGUUGUGACUCUGCAACAGAAGAGCUCAGGGACUGAACGCCUGGGAGAGGUGGCCCAGCUAUCCAGCAAAUCCUCUGUCAUCCUGGGGUCCAUGCAGCACCCGCAAGCCUACCAUGCAAAGCCCGGCAGGACAUCCUGUUUCCACGCCUCUGUCACCACGAGAUGGAACGCUGCUCAGCCAUUUCAGAGGAGCUUGUGCUUGCUGCUUCCUGCUCCGUUUAGCAUUGAGUGCUUCCAAAUUAGGAGCAGGAGUCUUGGGAGAGGGAAAUGGCUCUGAGUCUGCUGAGGAUGUCGGAGGACAGCUUCAACAACUUCAAUAAUAGCUUCGGAGCAGAGGCCUGUAUGGUCUGGAAACGAUGACAAGUGAAAGCUAAAGACUUUCACUGCCUCAGAGAACAGGGGAAGAUGGACCCUAAGUACACAGGACAAGAGAUAGGAAGCCUACUCUCGUGUGGCUGCCUUUAUUCCUCACACAAAUGAAACAUCCAGCGAGCACGCAGACGUCUGCUCUCUGCUCCAGGAUUUAGAUGUCCCGCAUCUCAGUCUGUGUGGAACAUACCUCUGUCAUUCUGAGGAAGCAGUGGUCAUAUUGACAAUAUUCACCCUAAAUCUGUCUGAAUUCUUUUUUUUUUAAAGUUAAACUUAAUUUAGUGUAUUGUUUGCUUUUUAAAAAUAACUAAAAUAGAUUCACACUUUAUCUAACAUCAGUCAUUCUUAACACAAAUGAGCCUGACUGGGGCAUACUUUUCUUUAUGCCACUUCAACAGACCCUAAGUUCCAUCUGUGGUUAUCACUCUAAGUAAAUAAAAAUAUUUAGAAUGCAUUUUGGUGUCCAGUUAUUUGAAAUCAAGUUUCCAUUUUGAAUAGUUUCAUUAAAGUUUAUGCCAUGGUAGAAUGACCCUUUAUCUGCUUUAACUUAGUCUGUAUUAAAUUGAUAAAAUACACCCUUACUCCUGUGCAAACAUCCAGCAAUGUAGUUACAUCAUUAUUUGAAAUGCUUACACGGGAAUGUUCUUAAUACGUAUGUAAAAAUGAUCAAGGCAUUCUUCUGCUCUCUAAAAUCUGGGAGGCAAUUGUAUGUGAUAGGA